GGCCAUACUACGUUGAAAGACCGUUUCCCGUAUGAUCAACGAAGUUAAGCAACGUCAUGCCUGGUCAGUACCUUGAUGGGUGACCUCUUGGGAAUACAAGGUGCGGUAA
rnacentral:rRNA from 1 species